rnacentral:lncRNA from 1 species
UUCAGAUACAGUUGUAUUUUUUCCAGUAUCUAGUAUAAUUUGAGCAUCCUCCUUCAUUUUAAGGACUCAGGAUCAAAUGUUAAUUUUCUUUUUAAACCAUGUAUUCAAUAUUUUUAAACAUAUGUAAACAACUAAUGACAAGACUGAAGGACAGUGAAGUUAGGCAAAAUGUGGCAUCACAUGAUGGCAGGAGAUAUUUUCCAUUUUAAAUUCUUCUAAUAAAUCUUUCAAUUUGGCGUUUUAACUUCCUAGGGAAUAUAAUAACUGUUGCUGAUUUUUAAUGCAUUUUCAUUUUUUGGUCUUUUAUUUUCUUCUGUAAACUUCAUCCACUGCCUUGCUGUCAUAUUUUUUCAAAGCAAAUCCCAGAUAAAGUACAGCUCUGCAUUUUUGUACC